UCAUAGUGAUCCGGUGGUUCUGAAUGGAAGGGCCAUCGCUCAACGGAUAAAAGGUACUCCGGGGAUAACAGGCUGAUACCGCCCAAGAGUUCAUAUCGACGGCGGUGUUUGGCACCUCGAUGUCGGCUCAUCACAUCCUGGGGCUGAAGUAGGUCCCAAGGGUAUGGCUGUUCGCCAUUUAAAGUGGUACGCGAGCUGGGUUUAGAACGUCGUGAGACAGUUCGGUCCCUAUCUGCCGUGGGCGCUGGAGAACUGAGGGGGGCUGCUCCUAGUACGAGAGGACCGGAGUGGACGCAUCACUGGUGUUCGGGUUGUCAUGCCAAUGGCACUGCCCGGUAGCUAAAUGCGGAAGAGAUAAGUGCUGAAAGCAUCUAAGCACGAAACUUGCC
rnacentral:rRNA from 1 species